rnacentral:lncRNA from 1 species
GCUAUGCAAAUCACCUCAACCAUUUAAGUCUUUGACACUGCCUACAAAAAUAGCUGCCCAUAAAAGAGAAUCAGAUGCGGUGAAUAAUUCACAUGCAUGCCCUUGUGUGGGCGGGAGCUGGGUGCUGUUUGCUUUGACGUGGUGAAACCCACAGUUAGAAUCCAGACUUCUACCUAGAAUCUCAGUCUGAACACUUUCAAGGCAUUGACAGUCGCAGAACUGAAAUGAAUGAAGGUUCUAGUCACGGAGCCACCCCUAUCUCAAAGCACAAUGUAACAGCAAGA